GCAGGCUGCAACCCGCCUGCGUGGAGUCGGAAUCGCUAGUAAUCGCGGAUCAGCAUGCCGCGGUGAAUACGUUCCCGGGCCUUGUACACACCGCCCGUCACACCAUGAGAGUCGGGAACACCCGAAGCCCGUAGCCUAACUUGCAAGAGAGGGCGCGGUCGAAGGUGGGUUCGAUAAUUGGGGUGAAGUCGUAACAAGGUACC
rnacentral:rRNA from 1 species